GUCACUGUGACUUAAAGGAGAAGCACCCGAAAUCAGGGAGGACUCCCUAAGGCAUCAUUUAGAAUCUCUGAGUGGAAGACAUGGCUCCUAACAUCUGAGGUCCGUGCUUUGGUUCAAGGUCCUGGAUAAGGGCAGUAGUGGGUAUCCAUGCACAAGAGGCAGAAAAGCAGUUACUGACAGCGGGAAGGUACAAGGUGUUUUGCCUGCAGGUAUGAAUGUACACUACAGUUUCAUAUAUGGAGACUGGAAGAGGGUGUUGGAUCCCUGGGAUUAACGUUAUAAACAGUUAUGAGCUGCCACAGAGAAUAAAAUCAGACCGUGCUGAAAGCACAGCUAAGACUGUGACCCCGUAGGAGUCAGACAGAGCAAGAAGAACCUGAAUCAUGAUUCCGGAAACUAGGCUAAGGGUCAAAAAACAGCUGAGCUACUGAUCAACCAAAGGAGCAGCUGAUAAAUUCCCAGUUCCAGUCUUGAGGGAACAGCAUGGAAGAGGAGGCCCUUGAAUGUGUUUCUCCUUUGCAAACUGGAAACUGUUUCCUACUGAAGUUGUCUGCAGAGUUGUGUCAUCCAGGAUGACCACACGGAGGCACUGAGUUGGUCAGCAAGGUCAAUACUGGCUUGAGAGCAAGGUGGGUGAACUUCACUGCCCCUG
ensembl:lncRNA